rnacentral:rRNA from 1 species
UACAGAGGUCCCAAGCGUUGUUCGGAUUCACUGGGCGUAAAGGGUGCGUAGGCGGUCGGGUAAGUCUGAUGUGAAAUCUCACAGCUUAACUGUGAAACUGCAUUGGAUACUAUCCGGCUAGAGGAAUGGAGGGGAGACUGGAAUACUUGGUGUAGCAGUGAAAUGCGUAGAUAUCAAGUGGAACACCAGUGGCGAAGGCGAGUCUCUGGACAUUUCCUGACGCUGAGGCACGAAAGCCAGGGGAGCAAACGGGA